rnacentral:lncRNA from 1 species
CUCAGGUCAAAACUUAAAAAAUCAGAUUUACCAUUGGCAUUAUAAAAAAAGGAGUAGGUGUAACAGAACUUCCUUUUCAUCAACCUGGAACCUGCCAUGCCUGCCAUAUAGCCAGAUACAGGCUUCUUGGCAAAUUGUUUAUACCUAUACCCUGAGGAUGACUAAAAUGGUAGCCUAAUUUAUUUGAAUUUUGUAUUAU